rnacentral:rRNA from 1 species
CAGCCGCCGCGGUAAUACGAAGGGUGCAAGCGUUAAUCGGAAUUACUGGGCGUAAAGCGUGCGUAGGCGGUUUGUUAAGUCUGUUGUGAAAUCCCCGGGCUCAACCUGGGAAUGGCAAUGGAUACUGGCAAGCUAGAGUGUGUCAGAGGAUGGUGAAAUUCCCGGUGUAGCGGUGAAAUGCGUAGAGAUCGGGAGGAACAUCAGUGGCGAAGGCGGCCAUCUGGGACAACACUGACGCUGAGGCACGAAAGCGUGGGGAGCAAACAGGAUUAGAUACCCCUGUAGUCCCUGUCUCUUAUAC